UUUUUAUGAUCUGCGUACCAUUCGGAGCCAAAGUGACUUUUAAACUUUACCUACGAUAGUACCUUUUGAGUUAAACUAAACAACAUGCAUGGUUUCUGUUAGAGAUCUUCUAAUACACAACUUUUAGUUAUGACUCAAGUUUAUACACCAUUUUUUAUCCUUGCAAAGACAUCCAUACCUACUUACUCCGUACAUAUAUUGUUGGGAUAAAUUUGAAAUAGCUUGAGGUGCAAGUUUUCUAAUCUAUUAAAGUUGUAGUUAUCUAAAGGGAUUAGGAAAUAGUUAAUUGUGUUAGUCAUAAUGGGUUUAGGAUAAUUAAAGUGUUAUAUAAGGAUAUGCAAGAGUUGCAUAACUUAAGAGUUUUGUGAUUGAGGGCUUAAGGUUUUGAGAGAGUUUCCUUAAGAUAUUAAUAAGAGAGUUUGCUUA
rnacentral:lncRNA from 1 species